rnacentral:lncRNA from 1 species
AAGCACGACCGGGCAGCCUGGACACCGAUCCAAGCAUUCAUCUGGCAGAUAAUAGGAAAACAGUCCUCAGCUUUGUAUCCAGUUGGAAUGCAAAAGUUCUCCCUAGGGAUGCUAGUGGAUCUGCUGUUCCAGAAGGAAAUGUCAGGCGAAGAUUUUAUCUUCGUGUGAGGGCUCAAAUGAAGAAUCAGGAACCAACUAAGAGAUUAAUUCGCCAAAUUACUACGGAGGUCUGUCAUGCC